rnacentral:rRNA from 1 species
CAGGCCUAACACAUGCAAGUCGAGCGGUAACAGAAAGAAAGCUUGCUUUCUUUGCUGACGAGCGGCGGACGGGUGAGUAAUGCCUGGGAAUAUGCCUUAGUGUGGGGGAUAACUAUUGGAAACGAUAGCUAAUACCGCAUAACGUCUUCGGACCAAAGAGGGGGACCUUCGGGCCUCUCGCGCUAAGAUUAGCCCAGGUGGGAUUAGCUAGUUGGUGAGGUAAAGGCUCACCAAGGCAACGAUCCCUAGCUGGUCUGAGAGGAUGAUCAGCCACUCUGGAACUGAGACACGGUCCAGACUCCUACGGGAGGCAGCAGUGGGGAAUAUUGCACAAUGGGGGAAACCCUGAUGCAGCCAUGCCGCGUGUAUGAAGAAGGCCUUCGGGUUGUAAAGUACUUUCAGUCGUGAGGAAGGCAUUGUAGUUAAUAGCUGCAGUGCUUGACGUUAGCGACAGAAGAAGCACCGGCUAACUCCGUG